rnacentral:lncRNA from 1 species
AAAAAUUAAUAUCAAUUAACAUUCAUUUAAUCCAAAAAUUAAUUUAAAAAGAAAUACAUCUAAUAUCCAAUGUGAUCUCCACCAAUACAUAAUAAAACAUCCCAAAUUGAAAAAGUCAUCCCAAAGUAUAAAAUUGCAGUCAAAUUCCAAUCAAACUCUAAGAAAAGCAAUAAGAAUUCCGGCCACCAAGCCAAGUUACCCAACAAAACUUCCAAAGAUUAAUGCAAGUACUCCAACAAUAAGAUUUCUAGCAAGACUUCCUAUAAAAAUUCCAGCAACAAUAUUAUCUUCUGAUAGCACUCUAAACGAAAAUUGAAACUUACAAAGCGACCUGCAAGCUUCCUGUGAACAAAAAUUCAAACACCAAGCAGAAUAAGGAAAAUUAAGAGGCUGCAAUACAUGUGGGCAUCAAAUAUAGUAAUCUAUUUGAUUUAAACUGACUUCACUUUUAUGGAAUGAGCAAAAUGUACAUACUCAAUGGCUUAAAAUUACUUUUGGUGAAUGGGAAUUCAUCAAAAUCAACAAGCUAGCUAAAAAUGCAAAGGAAACCACAACAAUAGGCCAGUGUGAGGAGACAAAAAUAAAUCAUAAAGUCAUAAAAAGCAAUGGCAUCUAGAUCCAGCUAAACUAAUCAACCAAUGAAACGAAAACCAAACAACCAACUUUGACAAGCUUAUCUCAACCAACAACACUAAUUCUAGGCCUGUAACCUGCCUCGUAUUUAAAAUAGCAUAACAACCCUUUUCUGGAAAGUGGAAACGACUGUAUAUAUGUCAGGAUUUUUAAUAAAAUCACAUUCUUCAUCCACAAAAUAAAAAUAAAAUCUAAGUGGAGGAAUUGUCACUAGCACAGAAAAGUAUCUAAAGUCUGUUUAGCAAAGUCAGUGGUAGAUAUCAUCACUCCAGCUAUGAAU